rnacentral:lncRNA from 1 species
UGAAAGCUGCAACUUAUAAGUUGUAGCUAAACUUUCAAAACUUUGACUAAAUUUAUAGAAAAAACGCUAAAAUCUAUAGUACCUUAAUACCAUUAGAUUUAUCAUAGAAUAUAUAUAUUGAUACUCUUUUCUAUAAAGUUAAUCAAUAUUAAAAAAGUUUGACCAACACGCAUUUUAGGAGUUGCUUUCGGGCACAUUACUGAAACUGUUCUAGCUUAUAUCUGCCAGUGUAACCUGCGUCCACCGCGAUGUGAAAUGAGACAACGUUUGGGAUAUGGUCCGCAAUUGAAUAGCCUAGAACUAUACAAGAGCCCUUUUGGAUUCGGAACUAUGGCAACAAUUGACACUGUGGAAGUAUGCUGGUAAGGAUCGUGAUGACAGCUUUGCUUCAGGGCACGUUUUGUGCACGACAAAAACUACAUGACUUUCAGCCAUAUUGGGCUGUAGAAAAGGAUUUAAUCUUGCAGCCUAUGCUCCCACAGGAUACUGAGAAUCUCUAGCUGUACUGUUGUCCAGCCCCACGGCACUAAGCACACUUUUUAUGUUUGGUAUGCUUUGUUAAAGGGCUUGUUUAGAUCCUCCAAAAACUAAAAAAAAAAUAUAAGAUUAUCUGUCGCAUC